GUUCGUUAGUCGAAAAUACUGAAUAAUUAAACAAACCAAAUGGCAUCACUGGUGGUUCUUUUUUCCACUCCGCUAUACUGUCAUCUCAAACAAAAACAAAUGGAUCAUACAACUGCUAUGAAUACAUUCGACUCGUUUGCUUCCAUCAAUCGGUAAGUGAGAAAGAUGAUUUCUCCCAUCACCACAGUGCGGAUUUCCACUUCUAUCACAGCAGCCAACAACAUCCGUUUUCCUGCAGCAGUAACCUCCAACCCCUGUUGGCAAUGCCGGGGGACAGCAUUAACAGCAGCAGCAGAAUUUGACUGAUUCCGUUGUAUAGUAGAAUGAAAACAGGCGAGGUAAGCGAACGUAAUCGCAUGAUAUUUUAAUGUUCGCAUUUUUAUCCGGAUCAUACAACUGCUAUGAAUACAUCCGACUCAAUCAAUCGGCGAGUGAGAAAGAUGAUUUCCCUCAUCAUUACAUUGCUUAUUUCUACUUCUGUCACACCAGCCAACAGCAUCAGCUUUCCCGCAGCAGUAUCCUUUAAGACCAGGGUGCUAUUCCGGGGAACAGCAUCAACAGCAACAGUAUCAGGACCUGGCCAUCGAUAGUAUUUCGAGCAAUUUUCCCCAUCGGAGAUCCCGUGCUUCACGCACAUUGCAGAAUCCUCCUCAGCCACAUAUCUGUGUCAUCAAGGGCAAGGAGGUAUUCAUCAAUGUACUCAGUCGGAUUUGAAUCGUCAAUCCAGACAACCCGGAUGCACCGAUUCCAUUAUAUACAUUAUUAUUUUUAUUAUACAUGGAUUUUUAUUAUUUUUUUCAAUAAAAUGAUUAAAAUCGAUCAAUGUUUUUCCUUUUCAUGUUUCAUAACAAACCAAUACAAACAAGAGACGAUCAGUGUUGGAAGCAGCGUUACAUGCAGGUCGACGCCUUGCAUAUGUUGGCAAAAAAGUGGCGUCAAGUUGUUCGAUGAAUGCAUAUGAAAGGUCGAUAAAUCGAUUGCAAGGUGGCAGCAUUUGAGGUCGAUUGUUGACAUUUCAUCGACCCGAUCUUGGCAGGCAAAACGGA